rnacentral:rRNA from 1 species
CGGUGGUUAAAGAUGAGUAUGCGUCCUAUUAGUUUGUUGGUAAGGUAAAAGCUUACCAAGACUACGAUAGGUAGGGGGCCUGAAGGGUGAUCCCCCCACACUGGUACUGAGACACGGACCAGACUCCUACGGGAGGCAGCAGUGAGGAAUAUUGCACAAUGGAGGAAACUCUGAUGCAGCCAUGCCGCGUGCAGGAUGAAUGCCCUAUGGGUUGUAAACUGCUUUUAUACAAGAAGAAACCUCGGUACGUGUACCGACUUGACGGUAUUGUAUGAAUAAGCACCGGCUAACUCCGUGCCAGCAGCCGCGGUAAUACGGAGGGUGCAAGCGUUAUCCGGAUUUAUUAGGUUUAAAGGGUCCGCAGGCGGAAUAUUAAGUCAGUGGUGAAAGCCUACAGCUCAACUGUAGAACUGCCAUUGAAACUGUUAUUCUUGAGUAUGGAUGAAGUGGGCGGAAUAUGUCAUGUAGCGGUGAAAUGCAUAGAUAUGACAUGGAACACCAAUUGCGAAGGCAGCUCACUAAACCAUUACUGACGCUCAUGGACGAAAGCGUGG